GCUUUAAAAGGAAGGGGGGGGGGGGAACAUCCUAGAAGCUCAUAAAAGCCACUCUGAAGACUAAGGAGCACAUAGUUGUGGCUGAUGCCUGCCUGUGGCCAAGAGCAUGGAGCAGGGAAAAAACAAGUUGUCUGAUGUUGGGCAACUUGUAAGGGUCUCUGGAGGUCAGUGUACUCGUCUACAAAUGGGGUCUUAGGGAACCUAGAUCUACUGUGGAAACUGGUGCAAGCUGGAGGCUAUGCACCCCUAAGUGGGAGCGGCUCAAGUCAUGAAGCAAGAGGUGAAGCUCGCUGCUGGAAGCUGUCCCACUUUUCAAGGUCCACCUCAGAUCAUCAGGCAUUACAUCUGGAGGUUGGGGACCCCUACUCUAAGGUACUUGACACAUGAUGGCUCAAAACCAGGGUAUUCUUGCUGUACUCUUUUCUGCACUGGAUGUAAAUCUCCUACUCGUGACAUCACACAAGCAAACCCAGGAGCCUGUCUGCAGUGGAGCCAGAGGUUGUGCGACAGGACCGUGGAGAGAAGAGGGGCCGGGACUGCAGUUGGCUGUGGAGGGGAAGAGUCGGCAGCGCCGCAGUGGAUUCUUGGAUGCUCACAGCCUCCAAGCCAGUGCUUUCCUGACUCUCCUUGGCAACUAGUGCUCUGAUCUUCUCAUUCCUUCCAGAAUCAGCAGUUUGAAGAGGAGAAUCCAGCUGAGUGGCCAGGAAACAGGAACAACUUCAAAAGCAUUAAAUUCACAGUUGCCAUGAGAUGGGAGAGGCUAUCAAAUUCAUAAAAAUAAAAGAAAACAGCCAUGGGGAAAGAAAAUUCUACAAAUGAAGGAAGAGAUCUUGGAAAUCAUGUUUUCCACAAGACAAAAUAAAAUGAAUAUCACAAUGGAUACUUCAGAAAACUAUACUAGAAAUCAGGCCAAAUGUUAUCCUCCUAGAACCCAAAACUUGGAAAUUAAAACAGAAAAUAUAAAGAAAUAUCAAGAAUAGAGCCAGGGACUUAAUAUCUGGAGAAGAAAAAUUCUAGGAGACACCGAAGAUGGAGAACAUUAAAGGAAAUGAUCUGACUUGAAUAUGACUUCAGAGGCAUCACCACAUGAAACUUCAGAUGUUGUUUAUCUUAGUUGAGGCUGCACAGGGGGAAGGAUGGGAAACAAUUACUGUAAAUUUUAGCAGCUAUGGGGGACCCUGCUUAUGUAACUGGUCAAGAACCCUCAAUAAUGAUGGUUUUCUUUUCCACCACUUAUUCCAUGUUUUCCUUACUGUCUACCAGCACUUUGAUUGGAUGGGAUUCUGUUGUGUUGAAAUUAUGCCCACUCUCAUUGUCACAAGAUCAAAUUCAUUGUGGUCCCAUCUUUAUUGGAUUUCUGCAAUUUUCUUUUUUAUAUUUUAAUAAUUUGUAUCAUUUAUUUCCCAUUCUUUAAAUAACAAUUCAAUUCAAUGUG